AUGAACGCUAGCUACAGGCUUAACACAUGCAAGUCGAGGGGAAACGACAUCGAAAGCUUGCUUUUGAUGGGCGUCGACCGGCGCACGGGUGAGUAACGCGUAUCCAACCUGCCCACCACUUGGGGAUAACCUUGCGAAAGUAAGACUAAUACCCAAUGAUAUCCCACGAAGACAUCUGAAUGGGAUUAAAGAUUUAUCGGUGAUGGAUGGGGAUGCGUCUGAUUAGCUUGUUGGCGGGGUAACGGCCCACCAAGGCAACGAUCAGUAGGGGUUCUGAGAGGAAGGUCCCCCACAUUGGAACUGAGACACGGUCCAAACUCCUACGGGAGGCAGCAGUGAGGAAUAUUGGUCAAUGGGCGAGAGCCUGAACCAGCCAAGUAGCGUGCAGGAAGACGGCCCUAUGGGUUGUAAACUGCUUUUAUAAGGGAAUAAAGUGGGUCACGUGUGACUUUUUGCAUGUACCUUAUGAAUAAGGACCGGCUAAUUCCGUG
rnacentral:rRNA from 1 species